CGCGGGUCAGGCCACAGGAUCCAGGGGAUACCCGGUAACAGAAGCUGUCAUAUUUAUCGCUGGCGUCUUCAGAGCCAGCUUGAGUAGCUGGAGACAGAGCACACAAAAGGACUAUUCAGUGCAGCCCAUGGUCUGAAAUGAAACAGAUGCGCUGUGGAAGUUUGCAAACUCCCCGGCACAGAAGGUUGGCAGAUCUGCGCUCUGUAACCAGGGCCCAUCUUCUUGGCAGAGCGCUCCGCACCCCGGUGCCAGUGGCACUGCUCCUGCUGUGCAGACGAAGGGCGGUCUGGAGGACAAAGCACUCAGCUUGGCAGUUAAAGGCAGGGAGAACUAAACCAAGGCUGAGAGCCCACUUGAGCUUUUAAGCCCUCCCACCAAUUUUGGAUGCUGGUAUUUCAGGAAUUAGUACAACCAAAGGCACCUGGUCUGGUUUUACGGACUGGAACGCUCUUGGAAAGCAAUCAGAUACGAUUUGGACAAAAACAAUGGAGGCCCAGACACAGAGGCUGCCCUGGGAGAGUAUACCAGCUGUCUGCUCAGUUUCAAACCUCUAAUCAUGUUCUUGGAGAGAAAGCAAGGGGACCUGUUAGGGGUUGCCGAGCUCCGAGCUCAGGGCCAGGUCCAGGCGGCGGAGCCCGCGAGAGGGAGUCCUCCCAGCACACAGCACCUCGGACUUGAAUUUCUGGCACCCGGACAGCAGUAAAUGAGACCGAGUUUCUGAAUAUUCGCCACGGGCUGAGGACGAGGCGAGGGGAUUAAAAACGGUGGCACAAGCUAAGAUGAAAUAGUGGAAGUGGGGAGAGCAGUGGGAUGAAGGCUGGCAGCGCACAGAUGGGCAGAGCACCUGCUGGCAUGGCACGCAUCGCUCCCAGGGAAUCCAGACUACUGGUACUGCCUCAAAGCAAAUCAAAGCCUCAGACAGAAAUAGCCAAAGCCCUGCCAUGCCCUCCUUCAACUCUUUAAAAACAUCUUUGCCCCUGCUUGCAAACUACACAGGAGCAUUCAACAGCUGGCAGACUGCAAAGCCGCGCCUUCACAGAUCAUUCCAAGAGACCCUGGUGCUCUCCCCAUUGAUUUCCUUAGGCCACGCUUUGUCUCAAUGCAACGUGUGACAUCACCUGGAGAUACCUCACUUUGCCUUCCAUUCACCCCAGUGAGAUGCAGGCAAUUACCUGAGCCUUUUGUUAGGAGUCUAAUCCUCUUGGGCCCUGCAGAAGAUCAGCAGUGUUUCCAAAGGUGAUUCAGCCCACCCCAUCGGCCUCUGUGCUACUAACAUGGGUACACCAAACAUGAAGAGGGGUGAAGUCAUCCAGCUCUGUGCACACACGAUUCCUAUCUCUGUACAGGACCUCCUGUUGCUGCCACCAAGCUCCCAAACCAGCACGCCCCAUACAGAGCCCUGACACCUUGCUCUGCAGCAUGUUCAAUGCCCUGCACUGAUGCCCUGAAUCUGUUCCCUUUCUGCUGAGCCCCUGGCCCUCCCUGUCAUCACCAGGAGAGACAGAUGCUCUCAAAGCAAUAUUCGAUCUGCCAGGAGCCUAAGUUGCCUCCUGCACCUUAUUUCUCUCUGCUGACCCAAAGGAACGCUUGGUGGAACAGAACUGUGACCCAGGACACGCAAUCUUGUGCUUCAUGUUACAGCAAAUCUACAGCUAAGAGCUUGCACAUGCAGAGUGAGAGAAUAAGAACUGCUCUGGAGUACUUGCACUAUAAAAUGCUGCACACCUGAGAGAUUUUUGGACUCCAAGUAAGCCACAAAUAUGAAGUGUGAAUGGUUUACACUGGCACCUGGUCUUCUCAGCAGCUCAAUAUGCAUAAACGAUGUUGAAGUUAACCAAAAGAACGAUCAAGGCACCAGAAAGCUAUCAUAGAAGUGAGUCCUGGUUAUGGGAACUGUAAGAAACCAAACCUUUUGAGGAGUGUGAUUCAAAUCCUGACCACCAGAUUAAGGCAUAACUUCUCCUGAAGCCACCCAAGAGACAGGCUUGCACCAAUUGCAGAUCUGGUCCUGUUUGAAACGCUUUCAAAGAAACCAAACUGCAUUCGGUUUCUUAGGAACUGCCCCAGAUCUCACAUUACCAGCAUCCAAAGACAGAAAUCAAAGCACAGCAUACUUCAAGGUAUGAAUCAGCAAAAGAAUUCCUGGAUUUCUAAGAUGGAUUUGAUAAGCUGCUGUUCCCUGCACCGUUAUUAUUAUUAUUUGUAUUUUUCAGAGAUCUCAGAGUGUUCUCAGUACUUUGCAAACAAUGUCAGAAUUCACAUCAUCUUCCAUGCAAAGUGCCCGUUGGGGUUAAUGCAAAAAACUGAAAGCUAUCUAAAAAGGCAGAAAAUCCAAAGCUGACUCAGUUUGUCUCAUUAUAAAGCACUUUCUGAAGCAUCCUCUCGUCAACCAUUUCCUUACUAGAAAUCAUUUGACUUGACACCAUUUUUAAAACCUUUGCAGUCUUACAGCUAUGUAACUCCUCUCUGAAACAAGCCAACUUCAGCUGUAGCAUUUUUAACACCUUUACAUUCGUAUGCAGGCCCACAUUCAGCCCUCAGGAUGCUACUCACAGAACUCAGAGUCACUCCAGGGAAGAGGCUGACUGAUCACGGCGGUGAUUCUAUGACAUCUGCAAUGCACAGCACUGCUGCUGCCUUUGAACACAACUUCAGCCUCGCCUCAGCGAUCCCUCCUUUGUGGUGGCAUUCCCUUCUCAUCCAGCUGCCAAAAGGAGAUCUGAAAUGAACAUCAUAAACAUUGAUUUUUUUUCCUGCUAAGCAUCCAAAACCAUAUCCGAGAUAAACAAACAAAGCAAAACACUUGGCCCGAACCAUAUCCUGGCUCCAAACAAAUCUGGAUAAGAAAUUUGUGGUUGAGAUCUGUUCAUAUUAAACCCAGUGAAGUAAAUAUAUCUCACAUGUGGCCAUUUCUGUGAUUCCAGAGACCCAAAGUAUUCUGUGGCUUGGUUAACAUCCUUUGCCAUCAUUCUGGAUGUGACUCGUGGGUAGGUCUGUGCCAUAGGGCCAGGGACACCCCGGUUGUGUCUGAGAGCACUAACCCAGACCCAGAGACACCAAGCAGCAUGGAGGAAGAUGUAGGUAUUACAUGGGCAGUCUAAUUUCUGGAAUCAGAGCAUCUCUGUGACCCUGCGCCAGAACCAGCUUGGGAUCUAAUCCGCCCCAGGGACAUGCCCCUGAGGCCUGGGCACAUCUCACUUACCUUUAGGAACCUGCCCGAAGUGCCUCAGGUGAGAGACAUCCCCAAGGCACUCAUGCAAUCAACAGCCAGAGGUACCUUUGGAGAUGCCAAUCUCUCGCAUUAGCUACAACGCCUUAGGGCAGUUCAAGCCCAAUGAUCUAAGCCAGCCAGUGCCUCAGAUCCAGCUUUCCUUUGUGCUCUGCUAUCCUGGCAGUUGUUUGGCUCCUGCCCAGAAAUGGAGCACCUUGGGGAUCUCGCAUCACAGCCCAAGCUUUCCAAAUAGCAUUAUCUGCAAAGCCGUAAGGACGUAUGUGGAUCAUCAGUUCUCAUACAGAGCAUCUUUCCUUCCCAUCGAUUUUCCAUCACUGCUCUAACUUCCAGGAAACACAAGGGAUUUCCUGUGGCACGUGGGACUCGAUGGCAGGACACUGCUAAAGCCAAAGACGAUGAGAGGCUGCAGAGCUCCAAAUGUGCUGCACCUUGUGCUCGCAGCUUCCACCGAGUUCAACUUUUGCCUAAAAAGAACUAAUUAACACCGGACAGCCCCGCAGCAAUUCCUCAUCUGCUCUGGAGCAGAGGAGCCCAUCACUAUGGUGAUACAACAUUAAAGGGCUGGGUCCAAAAUGCUUUUCUGGCAGGAAGACGCACGCACCAGGCCAGAAUCGGGGAUGCCAGGCGAGCUGCUUGUAACUCUGGAGGAGAUGCUCCAGGCUUACCCCAGUGUCACUGAGAUUAGCCCUGGCCCGCGGCCUUUGAGGACAGCUCCAUCCCGGCAGGCAGAUGGCUCGCCUUCUAAUUUGGAGGGGCUGAAUGACUUUCCAAACCUUUGAUUCCUGACUGAUGUAUUCACUUCAGGAGACACAAAAGUACAAAAUCUCAGCAUGGAGUGACUCCCGUGCUUUCUUUUUCCUUCCCUCCCACCCCCCCUCGCCUUGUCUUUUCUUUUCUUCUCUCCCUGGACAGUUUUAUAAUUUUGGCAUGCAGCCAGAAUGUCUGUCCUUAUUAGCUUGGGCAGGCUGUGAAACACCUGCAGCCCAUUAUAGGCGGGGAGAGGGGAGGGGGGGGGGAAUGAAAAAAAGUCAACUGUCAUAGGUAAAGUAAUGACCAUUCAUUUCUUUGUUUUAACGCGCUAAAGGCACAUUCAAGAAGGGAAGGCAAAAAUGACGCAGCUUCCCCAUCGUGCCUACCAUUGACUGGACUCAACUGAAGACACUGGGUCAUAUUUUUAUCUGAUAAGCGGUUCCAAUAAGCAGUUAUACCUUCACACCAGUAAGGAUCCCAGUUUAUUCAAUGUGACAAGCGCCUGGUGCAUUUGAAUAGUGUCUUGUGCACCUUUUUUUAAUUUAUGUCUUUAUUAUGACCUAAAUAGGCAUUAGGAAGAAACUUCCCUCUGGGCAGGUUAUAACUAGACUGCCUACUGCCAUUUCCCUCUAAUAUCCCAGCUGCAAACACUGCCAGCUCUAGCUGAGCCUCCUUAACGGCAGCACAAAAGGGGUGUGGGAAGGGAUAGAUGUGGCCAAGUCCCACCGGCCACUGCCUCUACCAGAAGGGCUGCACAUCUGGAAGAGUGACCAGGGUCCAGACAGGGACAGUACCCAGUGUAUCACCACAGGCUUUGGAGAUUGCCCUGUGGACUCAGGAAAAACUGAUCAGAUUGAAGAGAACCUCCGGGUUCGUCCUGCAAACUGCAUGUGAACUUCCCCUGAGCAGGAAAUACACACUCUUAGGAGAAGUACCAACAAGUAUCACUGGAUCCUCACUCAUGUGGGCAGACCACUGUCCUGAGAGCAGUAUGGCCACCAGAAUCAUUGCUCAGCAGUGGGACCACAGGAGCCACCCUGUGUGGGAGCUCACAGUGCUCCCUUGCAGCCCCAGAUGGGUGUCGAAGCACUGCAGGUCAGGUGCAAGGGAUGGAAGUGGUCUGCUGGGGAAUGACCACCAAUAUGGGGCUGAGGGAAUCUGAAGCCCUGGCAACAGCCAUCCAUUUACUCACCAGACAGAUUGAAAGCAUUGUACAGGACAUCCUGGAUGGACUUUUUCAAACAAUAUGCGGUUUAAUGGUGGGAUUCAUCACCACCCAAUGCUGCGGAGGCCAAAUAUAUAAACAAGUUCAAAAAUGGAUUAGCAAAACUCAUGGAAGAUAGGUCAAUCAUAGACAAUUAAAUAUGGUAGUCCGGAUGCAACUUCCAGUUCAGGAAGUUAGUCAGCCUAAUGCCUUUCCACCUCUGAUUUACUUGUAAAAAGGAAGCCUGAAAAAUUCUCCUGAUGCCAAAACUGUCCCUCGGCUCCAAGCAUUAACUACAAUCACAAUAUACUCUUUUUUAUUUGGCAGGGGGAGGGGAUUACAUUUUCGUUCAGUAAUGAUAUUACAACAUGCUAUUUAUCUCCCCCUGCAGCUCCUGGACCUCUGUGUAACCUCCCAUCUCCCUGUCCUCCUAGGAAUAUCACAAAUAAAUUAGUGAAGUCUACUGGAAGGUGAUAGCAAUCACAGAUACUGCUAAAUUCCAUUUAGCAAGGAAUAAGGAAUCCAAUCACUUAUGUACAUAGGAAAGGUCUGAGUGGAUCACACUGUUAAAACAUUCUGUCCUUCAGAGUACCGGACCAGAGGAAGGUGCUGGAAAGCCAGGAUGGAAAAAAUACGAGCUGGUUUGUCCCCAAGGAAAGUUCUUUGUAACCUCAGGACAGUUAGCACUUGAUUUAUUCCCUGACACAUGCGGGCACAGAGGCUAAUUUUAUACAUAUACACUAAAUACACACAGAGUACAUCGCACACUGUGCUGCUGUGUAUCCCCAUCCCCUUUGGACCCUGUUAAACUCCCACAGGACCCAAAGAGCAGCUGACAGCACAGGUUAUCUGCUCCCUGUCCAGCUGCCCUCCUACCUGCUGCGCUUCUACCCACUACCUCCUUUUUGAGGGUGUUUUGGGGUGUUGCUGGAGAGCAAAGGACAAGAUGACAAAUGAGCUAACACACAGCAACGGAAUGUAAGUGAGUCUCAGCUAUUUUUAAUUAAGAAGCGAUGACAGCUGACUAAAUUCCCUGACACUGCAGUUAAAGGCUCUCUGACCCAGACAUCAUUGGACACUCUCCUACGACCAAUAUAUAUGGGUCCCGACGGUGCUUCUAUUAUUGUCCCCGCCGUCUCGACAGAUGCAGGACUAACAAAAUCUAUGUCUAUUAUCAGCAUGCAAAUAGUGAGAUAAAAGUGUGAAUGCUUAUGAGCCAGAGGAGGCAGCAGGUGAGAGGAGGACAAUGAAGGUCAUUUUCAAGGGAGUGCUGAAAGUGCCAAUGUUUGGCUUUCAAUAAAUGUUCACAAGGUUUAGACAAAUUUAACUGUCAUUUUCAUUUUCGGUUGGUUAAACCAAUGAUGGAUUGACCACGAGAGAGGCAGAGAGACAGAAAGAACAGUUCCUGCUGUAAGGCAGAUAAAAGAUAAGAGGUAAGGCAGCGUGAUCUGUGGACUGACUUCUCUCAGCCCACAGAUCACAGGGAGGGCUCCACAGAGAAAGCUUAUCUUCUCAUUCCCAGACCAAAGAACCCAGCAGCCCGGUAAGGGAAUCUGGAUUUGAAGGCCAGGGAUACACCUGACUUCAUACAAGGAUUCUUUAAAAGAGCUGAGAAUACAACAAGGUGUCCAGCUCCCACUACCACAACAGGCUGCCUAUCCUGCAGUGCAACAAUACACCAUGAAUCCCAUGCUAGGCAAGGUGUCAGCUCUGCACUGCUUUAGCUGUCUUGGAAAGAUGUCAAGACGAAGAUACCAACCACACAAAGACAAUACAAAACUCACUCACUUACUCAGGGCUUGCACAGGCAAUGAAUCCAGCAUGAGAUCACUUUACCUUGAGCUCACUAGUUGGUUUCAAUAGGACAGACAAAGAAAAGAUGCCCUUCUAUCCUCUCCAAAGGAUCAUGGAGAGAAGGGGUAAACUGGCAGACACGUCAAAGUCAAACAAAUCACGUACAAACUUGGCAUGGGCGAGACAAACACAUUAAGGAACAUCAUCAGGAACUUUCCAGUAUGGUUGCACAGUGGGAGGGGGAAAGAGAUGCUUUCUGCUGUUGCUAAGACAGUUCCCCCAGCCUUAUUCUCUCUACCAACCCAAUUGACGGGUGUUCUCCUCCCAUUGGCUCACCAGCUGCAUCGAAUGAUCAUGACAGGUUUUCGUCCUCCUCGCCCUAUUGGCUUCUGCCUAUGGCCUAUUAUCAGGGGAGAGCAAAUCAGACACGUAAUCAAUAGUUUGCGAGAAGGAACAGGGCUGCAUGAUGCUACAUUUGCAUGAAAUCUCUUGCUGCUAUGCCUCUGCAUUCAGAUAAGCACAGAUUAGCUGCAUCAGCCGCGCUCGCAGAGGUGAGCGUUGAUGGCAGACGGAUAGCAAAGCAGCACUGCAGUGAGCUGCCAAGGAAAGGCAGCACUGAACGCUCCAGUCCUGCUCUACAGAAGGUAAACCAGUGUGAAUCAAAGACCACCAGCAUCCUGCCCCAGCACCAGUCUAGAUGUAUGCAGAAAACUUUUUUUGGUCGCCCACUGAACUAGUAUUCCUGGCUUGGGUGCUCCUCAGGGCAACGAGCUACGAGAAUAACAAAAAGGUGCAUAGCAGGGGAGAGAUCUUCCCUGUAGUGAUGCCCUCUCCAGCAGGGAUGUAUGAAGAUGCUUUGUUUGAAGGCCUCCAGAAGCAUUCUGGGGUAGGCAGAGAGCAUGGAAGCACUCCACAAGGCCGCAGACAGCUUUCCUGGCCAGAUACAGGAUGGUGUGUGACAAGUCAGCCUCCAUAGCCACACUCCUUGGUCACCACAAGGCCUGCAGGGACAUGGGAACAGUGGUUUCUUCAUCUUGCAGCCACAAAAACCCAUUAUUAGGCAGAAGAGCACAGCAGUAGUGGGAUAGUUUCCAGUCCCACCACAGCCCAGGUCAAGGCCUGGAACAAGAAGUGGCAGAUGAGUUGCAAUCGGUUUCCAACUAUAAGUAACGCUGCCUUGAACCAACAGCACACGUAUGAAACACCCGUGUAAAACAACCAGAUGUUGCCAAUGGAUUUCAAAUCAACCACAAAAUAAAACUCCUUCUUAAGGAUGGGAACCUCAGACACCAGGGGAUCAAGUGCACCACCAAGUCAAGCGCAGUUAACUAGUGAACCAGCCCCAGCCUUAAAGCUUUAAAUUCACUGACGAAAUAUCCCCAGGCAUGUUUGGACAACAGGGAACAGCAGCCCUUUGGCUAUUUUCCUUUGCCACACAGGUGACUCAGUAUCCGGACUACAGAAGAAAAACUGGUGUUUCCUUUUCUGUCCAGGACCACAAGUGACUGGCAGCAGAAGGAGCUCAGUCCAGCUUCCAGCCUGCUCCUAACAGAGGAACACACAACUAAAAGAGGCCAAGGAACCCAGCAAACCCAUCCACUGCAGUUGGACAUGUGCACAUUCAAUGUACAUACACAGUCCAUGUGCUUUCUUCCCUUUACAAUAAGCAGGUUCAUUUAGGAAGAGUUAUAACUUAGACUGCUAUAGCCCAACUACGAGGCAAGACAGGAAAAUAUUCUCUGGAAAUUUCCACUGCCAACCUAUUUUUUUUUUCUGGAGGAGCAGUUGGACAAAAUACAGUGGAUCAGUUAAAAAAAAUUCUAAGUUUUUGACCUGAAUUCAUUCAUAUUUCUCACAUCGGUGGGGAUGGUUUCUUCAACAUAAGGUGGACUUUGAAGUUAGAAGGCAGAAAGAGAAAAGAGCCCAUCUAAUAAUCAGGUUCAAACCCCUACUUGAUCUCACCCUGUAAGGACCUUGAAUUAGGUCUACAGUUACCUAUCUGGCUUCAAGUAUUUUGGGAUCUCUCCCCAGCUGAUAUGGUCUAAGUUGCAUCCUAAGGCAGAACAGGAAGAAUGCUCUGAGUUCUCAAAAACGUUCAUGACUUUGGACAAAUACAUUAUAUUCAGCUUCAAAACAACUCCGUUCUCUUUUUGAUCUUAUGUAAUAGUCUAGAUGUCUGUGUUUUGAUUCCUCCCAAUUGUGCACUGAAACUGGUACAGAGCUCCAUGAAAGAAAAUUAAUGGACUGGAAGGAAACGUACACUUUUUUCUCUCUCUAAACCAUGUGCCUCUUUCCAGAGAAGAAAAGCAUGAAAUUUAGCAACAACUGAGCUGAUAAAACAAACUCAAAUAAGAACUCCUAUCAUAAGCUAAGUCUGCUUCAGCCACUCAAGAAGAUGGUACCAAUGAAUGAAGCCUUGUAGAUCAAUAAAAACCUCUUAAAUAAAACGAGAGCUCUUUCAGACUAAUUCAAGAAGCAUCCUACAAUGAAAAAAGAUUCUGUCCCUGAUGGCCUGGGAUCAGACUUCUUUUCUCCAUACUCUUAGUGCCUACACAACGGCAUUUAUCUGGACCAAUUAGAUUCUUACCAGGAACGUGUAGGAAAUACUCCACGCAAAGGUGAAGCUGCUAUGUUACAACCUAUGUUGCUCUGACUAUUAUGGUGAUCAGUUCACUUUUGAUUGAGCACUUCAUCACCAAAAUAGGAAGGGGUUCUCCCUUACCUGGGAAUGAAUUCAGUCCUGAAUGGCCUUGUUGGUGAGUUUGCAGCAAGAAGGCAAAAAAGGAUGGAUGCGCACUUCUUCGUCUCCACCUCGCAGCAGGCACAACCUAGGAUAACAACAAUGAGAAACAUAUAGAUAUAAGCCCAAUGGAUGAUCAGGCAGCAAACAUAGGGACGGGAAGGAAAUAAAACCUCUGAGCCUUUCUCGGGGAUACAGAGUGCUCAGACACCUUCUGCUAUCUGUUCAUCCCACAGCAAUACCGAGACGUUCUGUACAGCCCCAACGGCCGUACGCAGCAGUGCAGGCAAAGGAAACAAAGCUGGAGCUCAAGCAGGGGAACACUGGUGUUCACAGGUCUGCUUCCACACCCCAGCCCUGCUCAUGAUAUAUCUGUCUCUAGCUCACAGCUUGGACCUCAGGGCUUUCAGGCUGCCAUUUACCAGCAGUCCUGGUGGAGAAGGAGGAGUCAAGAAACCCGAGAGCCAUUUCUGAGCCAAAAGGUUUUGUUCAGAUUCAUUUUCAACUUUUCAUUUUGAAAUGUUUUCAUAAUUCCCAGCAUCUCUCCUUUCAGAUCUGCCUCACUUUAAAAAAUGCUGGAAUGUCACUGCUCUUCUAAUUGUUGUUCCAUAGAGAGAACUAUUUUCUGUAUGCAUUUCAGAAUUGUUACAAGAAACAAUCCAAGAAUAUAGCCAUCCUUUCUUAGUACACUGUAUAACUGUUCAUGAAGGGUUUCAACUUCUGUCUUGAUCUGCUUCUUGUUUGUUUCCCAGCUUCAUCUCAUUAGUACAAUAUCUGAAGGAGUUCAUAUUAUUAAUAAAGCCAAACCACAGGAAUACAUCUCGUAACUGCUCUAUUUCUCUGAUGCCGAAGGCUAGUAAAAGGUCUCCAAACUUCAAUUUCAUCUUUUAAUAGUUCUAUGCAAGGUAACUCAACGUUACUAGUCCCAUUUUGCUAUUAAACAGAGGCACGGAAGAGUGAUAAGAACAGUCCCAGGCCAUAAAACAAGUAGAAAAAGACAACCAAACCCUGAGUCCUGAUCCACAGCCUCCUGCUCCGUCCCAGAGGACAACAUUCUUUCCUAUGACUACUAAAAAUAUUGGGGUCUCCUGUGAAACAGACGGCAGUGCUAAUUUUUGAGGUGAAACGAGC
ensembl:lncRNA